rnacentral:rRNA from 1 species
UACGUAGGGUGCAAGCGUUACUCGGAAUUACCGGGCGUAAAGCGUGCGUAGGUGGUUUGUUAAGUCAGAUGUGAAAGCCCCGGGCUCAACCUGGGAAUUGCAUUUGAUACUGGCUAACUAGAGUGAGGUAGAGGAGAGUGGAAUUCCCGGUGUAGCAGUGAAAUGCGUAGAGAUCGGGAGGAACAUCAGUUGCGAAGGCGGCUCUCUGGACCAUCACUGACACUGAGGCACGAAAGCGUGGGGAGCAAACAGG